rnacentral:rRNA from 1 species
GACGAACGCUGGCGGCGUGCUUAACACAUGCAAGUCGAACGGAAAGGCCCUGCUUUUGUGGGGUGCUAGAGUGGCGAACGGGUGAGUAACAAGUGAGUAACCUGCCUGUGACUUUGGGAUAACUUCAGGAAACUGGGGCUAAUACCGGAUAGGAGCUCCUGCUGCAUGGUGGGGGUUGGAAAGUUUCGGCGGUUGGGGAUGGAGACGCGGCUUAUCAGCUUGUCGGUGGGGUAGUGGCUUACCAAGGCUUUGACGGGUAGCCGACCUGAGGGGGUGACCGGCCACAUGGGGACUGAGAGACGGCCCAGACUCCAACGGGAGGCAGCAGUGGGGAAUAUUGCGCAAUGGGCGGAAGCCUGAUGAAGCAACGCCGCGUGCGGGAUGACGGCCUUCGUGUUGUAAACCGCUUUCGCCUGUGACGAAGCGUGAGUGACGGUAAUGGGUAAAGAAGCACCGGCUAACUACGUG